AUUAGGUUAAUUAACGGGGCUCAGGGUGCGUCUCGCGCGAAGGCGCCGGCACGAGGCCGCGCGUGGCCUGGCCCUGCGCAUGCGCGUCCCGGAGCGGGUGGGCGUGGCCGCUGCAUUCGUCCCGCCCCUUCGCCCUCCCCAUUGCAGAGUAGUGAUGGGGCGGGGCUUAGGGAGUGAGCUCCGCCCACCUCCGGGCCGGGUACCAAUGAGCGUCGGGGGGCGGAGUCUGUGGCUGGACAGCGCGGGGCGGACGGGGUCGGACUCGGGCAGCGCCGCCGCGCCGGGAAGGGCCAGAGCUGGAGAGCGUGAAAGAGUUUUUGGCCUGGACCAAGCAGGAUUUUCUCAUUGCAAGAAGCUGACCCAGGGCUCAAAAUGGCGCCAGAAUCACCUCAGGAUCAAAGUGGUGCCAGAAUCACCUCAGGGAUCAAAAUGGCGCCAAAAUCACCUCAGGAUCAAAUGGCGCCAGAAUCACCUCAAUGGCAGCACCAGGCACACAAAAUCACCUCAAAACACAAAGUGUUUGCCCCAGGGGCACUAAAAUCGCCUCAGGGAUCAUAAUAGUGGCACGAAGAUCAUCUUAGGGCUCAAAACGGUGGCCACGGGGCACGAAAUCACCUCAAAAUGCAAAAUGGUGGCCCCGGGGGGCAACGGAAUCACCUCAGGGAUCAAAAUGGCGCCAGAAUCACCUCAGGGAUCAAAAUGGCGCCAAAAUCACCUCAGGGCUGGGGAAGGAGGGUGAGGGUGGAAAUUGGGGGGACCGACCUAAUAAAUGUAUUUGGGGCAAAUCC